rnacentral:tRNA from 1 species
UCCUUGGUGGCUCAGAUGGUAAAGAAUCUGCCUGCAAUGCAGGAGACCCAGGUUCGAUCCCUGGGUUGGGAA